rnacentral:rRNA from 1 species
AUGGCGGCGACGCAGCCGUCGGCGGACGUGGAGGGCGCGCUCCUCGCCCACCUCAACGCCAACGGCGAGAUACCCGACUCCCGCUCCUUCGCCUCCUCCCUCGGCGUCCCGCACAAGGACGUCGAGGACGUCAUCAAGAGGCUACGCGCCUUCCACAUCAUCGAGAGCACGGACAUCACCAGGGAGGCGUGGGUGCUCACCGACGAGGCCAAGGGCUACGCCGCCGGGGGCUCCCCCGAGGUGCACCUCGUCGCGGCCAUCCCGCCUGAGGGUGCCUCCAGGGCCGCGCUCGAGGAGGAAUUCGGGGACGUCUUCGAUAUUGCACGGAAGGCUGCCGCCAAGAACAAGUGGAUUAGAUUUGAGAACGACCUCGUGCUGAGAACGGUUGAGGAUGCCAGGGAUGAGUUGCAAGAGCUGCUUAAAAGAGUGGAGAAUGGGGAGGUUGUUCCUGAUCCAAGAAAGGAGUUGGAGAGAAGAAAGCUUGUAACAAAAGAAAAAACUAUUUGGUAUUCACUGAAGAAGGGACCUGAAUUUGUUGUAAAGAGAAAAACAUUGGCUACCGAUGUGACACGAGAACAUCUCAAGAGUGGCGACUGGAAGGAUCUGGAAUUUAAAGAUUAUAACUAUGGAGCCCAAGGACAACCUAUUGCGAUAGGAUAUAGUCAACCCUUGUUGGAGGUCCGUGAAGCAAUCCAGAACAUUUUUCUUGAGAUGGGGUUCAGUGAGAUGCCUACAAACAUGUAUGUAGAGAGCAGCUUCUGGAAUUUCGAUGCACUGUUCCAGCCACAACAGCAUCCUGCUCGUGAUUCGCACGAUACAUUUUUCCUCAAAGCCCCUGCUACAACAACACAAUUACCUGAUGACUAUCUUGAGAAAGUGAAUCAAGUCCAUCAAUCUGGUGGUUAUGGUUCCAAAGGAUAUGGUUAUGAUUGGAAGCGAGACGAGGCGGAGAAAAACCUGCUUCGUACUCACACAACUGCAGUUUCCGCAAGGAUGCUAUACAAGCUAGCACAGGAGGAACAUUUUGCUCCUAAGAGAUACUAUUCUAUUGAUCGUGUUUUCCGGAAUGAAGCUGUGGACCGAACUCAUCUUGCAGAAUUCCACCAGAUAGAAGGUCUUAUUUGUGACUAUGGUUUGACGCUUGGUGAUCUGAUAGGUGUACUGGAGGAUUUCUUCUCCAGGCUAGGCAUGUCAAAGCUGCGCUUCAAACCUGCCUACAAUCCAUACACUGAACCAAGCAUGGAGAUUUUCGGCUACCAUGAAGAUCUGAAGAAAUGGGUGGAAAUAGGCAACUCGGGCAUGUUCAGACCUGAAAUGUUACUUCCCAUGGGACUGCCAGAGGGUGUUAAUGUUAUCGCAUGGGGUCUUUCACUUGAAAGGCCAACAAUGAUUCUGCGUAACAUUGACAACAUACGGAAGCUCUUUGGGCCAAAGGUCGACUUCAAAGUGAUCAAGGACUGGCAGAUUUGCCGCGCGGGGAUCAGCUGUAGUGAGCCGGAUAGGACUUUAGCUGGUGACUGA